CUGUGCCUAAUACAUGCAAGUCGAACGCGUUGGCCCAAUUGAUUGAUGGUGCUUGCACCUGAUUGAUUUUGGUCGCCAACGAGUGGCGGACGGGUGAGUAACACGUAGGUAACCUGCCCAGAAGCGGGGGACAACAUUUGGAAACAGAUGCUAAUACCGCAUAACAACGUUGUUCGCAUGAACAACGCUUAAAAGAUGGCUUCUCGCUAUCACUUCUGGAUGGACCUGCGGUGCAUUAGCUUGUUGGUGGGGUAAUGGCCUACCAAGGCGAUGAUGCAUAGCCGAGUUGAGAGACUGAUCGGCCACAAUGGGACUGAGACACGGCCCAUACUCCUACGGGAGGCAGCAGUAGGGAAUCUUCCACAAUGGGCGCAAGCCUGAUGGAGCAACACCGCGUGAGUGAAGAAGGGUUUCGGCUCGUAAAGCUCUGUUGUUAAAGAAGAACACGUAUGAGAGUAACUGUUCAUACGUUGACGGUAUUUAACCAGAAAGUCACGGCUAACUACGUGCCAGCAGCCGCGGUAAUACGUAGGUGGCAAGCGUUAUCCGGAUUUAUUGGGCGUAAAGAGAGUGCAGGCGGUUUUCUAAGUCUGAUGUGAAAGCCUUCGGCUUAACCGGAGAAGUGCAUCGGAAACUGGAUAACUUGAGUGCAGAAGAGGGUAGUGGAACUCCAUGUGUAGCGGUGGAAUGCGUAGAUAUAUGGAAGAACACCAGUGGCGAAGGCGGCUACCUGGUCUGCAACUGACGCUGAGACUCGAAAGCAUGGGUAGCGAACAGGAUUAGAUACCCUGGUAGUCCAUGCCGUAAACGAUGAGUGCUAGGUGUUGGAGGGUUUCCGCCCUUCAGUGCCGGAGCUAACGCAUUAAGCACUCCGCCUGGGGAGUACGACCGCAAGGUUGAAACUCAAAGGAAUUGACGGGGGCCCGCACAAGCGGUGGAGCAUGUGGUUUAAUUCGAAGCUACGCGAAGAACCUUACCAGGUCUUGACAUCUUGCGCCAACCCUAGAAAUAGGGCGUUUCCUUCGGGAACGCAAUGACAGGUGGUGCAUGGUCGUCGUCAGCUCGUGUCCUGAGAUGUUGGGUUAAGUCCCGCAACGAGCGCCACCCUUGUUACUAUUGCCAGCAUUAAUUGGGCACUCUAGGGGAACUGCCGUGACAACCGGAGGAAGGUGGGACAACUCGAACUCCUGCCCCUUAGACCGGGCUAACACUUGCAAAAGAAGGUAAACGAGUCCGAACCCCGAAGGAAGAAACUUUUAAAA
rnacentral:rRNA from 1 species